UUUAGCUGUCCUGGAAUUUGACCAGGCCAAACUCCAGCUCACAAAACUCCACCCACCACCUCCACCCCACCUCCCAAGUGGGGGUGGGGGGGCAUUAAAGCUAAGCACCACCAGGCCUGGCUCAAGACUCAGUAUUCUAAAGGGAAGUUCUUUAAGCCUCAGGAAAUAAGCAACCCGAAAGCUUCAGGGAAAUCCCUCAAACCGACCAGAUGUGCUAGGCCCCUCCCUCUUCAAGCUUAUCUGAGAGUAAGGCCUACACAGAGAGCCACUCUGUUCAGACUGAGCUGCGGGGAAAGAGGCAGAAACCAGCACAGCUGCCUAGGAGUGGCAGAGACCAGCUGGGCUGCCUGGAAGAGGCUCAGACCAAUCGAGCUAGCUGCCUGGAAAAGACACUCUGAAGGGCUGAGCAGCCUGCAGGCUGUGCAGUGCGCUCCAGAUUUCAAGCUGAGAGCUUGUCACCCAUGUUAGCUUUGGGUGACGCAACACCUUUGAGUCACUUCUGCUCUCCUUCCAUUUUCUACUUUCCUGGGCACCUGGCUGCUAUUUCCUAAAUGCCAGUGUGAUUAAUGAGUGCCAGAGAUAGCAGAUGGGAAGACAGACCUCCUGAUGGUGAUUGACUGAUAAACUAGAAGAAUCCUUAAAUGCUGUGAUCAUUCAAAAUCUACUCAAGAGGUGCUACCAACACCUGACCAAUACAGAUGCGGA